CACGUAGGGCGCGAGCGUUGUCCGGAAUUAUUGGGCGUAAAGAGCUCGUAGGCGGCCUGUUGCGUCCGCUGUGAAAGCCCGGGGCUUAACCCCCGGGUCGGCAGUGGAUACGGGCAGGCUAGAGGUAGGUAGGGGAGAAUGGAAUUCCCGGUGUAGCAGUGAAAUGCGCAGAUAUCAGGAGGAACACCGGUGGCGAAGGCGGGUCUCUGGGCCGAUACUGACGCUGAGGAGCGAAAGCGUGGGGAGCGAACAGG
rnacentral:rRNA from 1 species